rnacentral:rRNA from 1 species
GACGAACCGUGCGAACGUUGUUCGGAAUCACUGGGCUUAAAGGGCUCGUAGGUGGCCAACUAAGUCAGACGUGAAAUCCCUCGGCUUAACCGGGGAACUGCGUCUGAUACUGGAUGGCUUGAGUUUGGGAGAGGGAUGCGGAAUUCCAGGUGUAGCGGUGAAAUGCGCAGAUAUCUGGAGGAACACCGGUGGCGAAGGCGGCAUCCUGGACCAACACUGACACUGAGGAGCGAAAGCCAGGGGAGCAAACGGG